rnacentral:rRNA from 1 species
CUGUGAGCUCGAUGAGUAGGGCGGGACACGUGGUAUCCUGUCUGAAUAUGGGGGGACCAUCCUCCAAGGCUAAAUACUCCUGACUGACCGAUAGUGAACCAGUACCGUGAGGGAAAGGCGAAAAGAACCCCGGCGAGGGGAGUGAAAAAGAACCUGAAACCGUGUACGUACAAGCAGUGGGAGCACGCUUAGGCGUGUGACUGCGUACCUUUUGUAUAAUGGGUCAGCGACUUAUAUUCUGUAGCAAGGUUAACCGAAUAGGGGAGCCGAAGGGAAACCGAGUCUUAACUGGGCGUUAAGUUGCAGGGUAUAGACCCGAAACCCGGUGAUCUAGCCAUGGGCAGGUUGAAGGUUGGGUAACACUAACUGGAGGACCGAACCGACUAAUGUUGAAAAAUUAGCGGAUGACUUGUGGCUGGGGGUGAAAGGCCAAUCAAACCGGGAGAUAGCUGGUUCUCCCCGAAAGCUAUUUAGGUAGCGCCUCGUGAAUUCAUCUCCGGGGGUAGAGCACUGUUUCGGCAAGGGGGUCAUCCCGACUUACCAACCCGAUGCAAACUGCGAAUACCGGAGAAUGUUAUCACGGGAGACACACGGCGGGUGCUAACGUCCGUCGUGAAGAGGGAAACAACCCAGACCGCCAGCUAAGGUCCCAAAGUCAUGGUUAAGUGGGAAACGAUGUGGGAAGGCCCAGACAGCCAGGAUGUUGGCUUAGAAGCAGCCAUCAUUUAAAGAAAGCGUAAUAGCUCACUGGUCGAGUCGGCCUGCGCGGAAGAUGUAACGGGGCUAAACCAUGCACCGAAGCUGCGGCAGCGACGCUGAUGCGUUGUUGGGUAGGGGAGCGUUCUGUAAGCCUGUGAAGGUGUGCUGUGAGGCAUGCUGGAGGUAUCAGAAGUGCGAAUGCUGACAUAAGUAACGAUAAAGCGGGUGAAAAGCCCGCUCGCCGGAAGACCAAGGGUUCCUGUCCAACGUUAAUCGGGGCAGGGUGAGUCGACCCCUAAGGCGAGGCCGAAAGGCGUAGUCGAUGGGAAACAGGUUAAUAUUCCUGUACUUGGUGUUACUGCGAAGGGGGGACGGAGAAGGCUAUGUUGGCCGGGCGACGGUUGUCCCGGUUUAAGCGUGUAGGCUGGUUUUCCAGGCAAAUCCGGAAAAUCAAGGCUGAGGCGUGAUGACGAGGCACUACGGUGCUGAAGCAACAAAUGCCCUGCUUCCAGGAAAAGCCUCUAAGCAUCAGGUAACAUCAAAUCGUACCCCAAACCGACACAGGUGGUCAGGUAGAGAAUACCAAGGCGCUUGAGAGAACUCGGGUGAAGGAACUAGGCAAAAUGGUGCCGUAACUUCGGGAGAAGGCACGCUGAUAUGUAGGUGAAGCGACUUGCUCGUGGAGCUGAAAUCAGUCGAAGAUACCAGCUGGCUGCAACUGUUUAUUAAAAACACAGCACUGUGCAAACACGAAAGUGGACGUAUACGGUGUGACGCCUGCCCGGUGCCGGAAGGUUAAUUGAUGGGGUCAGCGCAAGCGAAGCUCUUGAUCGAAGCCCCGGUAAACGGCGGCCGUAACUAUAACGGUCCUAAGGUAGCGAAAUUCCUUGUCGGGUAAGUUCCGACCUGCACGAAUGGCGUAAUGAUGGCCAGGCUGUCUCCACCCGAGACUCAGUGAAAUUGAACUCGCUGUGAAGAUGCAGUGUACCCGCGGCAAGACGGAAAGACCCCGUGAACCUUUACUAUAGCUUGACACUGAACAUUGAGCCUUGAUGUGUAGGAUAGGUGGGAGGCUUUGAAGUGUGGACGCCAGUCUGCAUGGAGCCGGCCUUGAAAUACCACCCUUUAAUGUUUGAUGUUCUAACGUUGACCCGUGAUCCGGGUUGCGGACAGUGUCUGGUGGGUAGUUUGACUGGGGCGGUCUCCUCCUAAAGAGUAACGGAGGAGCACGAAGGUUGGCUAAUCCUGGUCGGACAUCAGGAGGUUAGUGCAAUGGCAUAAGCCAGCUUGACUGCGAGCGUGACGGCGCGAGCAGGUGCGAAAGCAGGUCAUAGUGAUCCGGUGGUUCUGAAUGGAAGGGCCAUCGCUCAACGGAUAAAAGGUACUCCGGGGAUAACAGGCUGAUACCGCCCAAGAGUUCAUAUCGACGGCGGUGUUUGGCACCUCGAUGUCGGCUCAUCACAUCCUGGGGCUGAAGUAGGUCCCAAGGGUAUGGCUGUUCGCCAUUUAAAGUGGUACGCGAGCUGGGUUUAGAACGUCGUGAGACAGUUCGGUCCCUAU